rnacentral:rRNA from 1 species
AUUGAACGCUGGCGGCAUGCCUUACACAUGCAAGUCGAACGGCAGCACGGGAGCUUGCUCCUGGUGGCGAGUGGCGAACGGGUGAGUAAUGCAUCGGAACGUGCCCUGAAGUGGGGGAUAACGUAGCGAAAGUUACGCUAAUACCGCAUAUUCUGUGAGCAGGAAAGCAGGGGAUCUUCGGACCUUGCGCUUUUGGAGCGGCCGAUGUCGGAUUAGCUAGUUGGUGGGGUAAAGGCCCACCAAGGCGACGAUCCGUAGCGGGUCUGAGAGGAUGAUCCGCCACACUGGAACUGAGACACGGUCCAGACUCCUACGGGAGGCAGCAGUGGGGAAUUUUGGACAAUGGGCGCAAGCCUGAUCCAGCCAUGCCGCGUGAGUAAAGAAGGCCUC